rnacentral:rRNA from 1 species
GACGAACGUUGGCGGCGUGCCUAAUACAUGCAAGUAGAACGCUGAAGGAGGAGCUUGCUUCUCUGGAUGAGUUGCGAACGGGUGAGUAACGCGUAGGUAACCUGCCUGGUAGUGGGGGAUAACUAUUGGAAACGAUAGCUAAUACCGCAUAAUAGCAGUUGUUGCAUGAUAACUGUUUGAAAGGUGCAAUUGCACCGCUACCAGAUGGACCUGCGUUGUAUUAGCUAGUUGGUGGGGUAACGGCUCACCAAGGCGACGAUACAUAGCCGACCUGAGAGGGUGAUCGGCCACACUGGGACUGAGACACGGCCCAGACUCCUACGGGAGGCAGCAGUAGGGAAUCUUCGGCAAUGGACGGAAGUCUGACCGAGCAACGCCGCGUGAGUGAAGAAGGUUUUCGGAUCGUAAAGCUCUGUUGUAAGAGAAGAACGAGGGUGAGAGUGGAAAGUUCACACUGUGACGGUAUCUUACCAGAAAGGGACGGCUAACUACGUG